AGAGGAACAAUUCUGAGUCUUAGA
rnacentral:piRNA from 1 species